GAUGAACGCUGGCGGCGUGCCUAAUACAUGCAAAUCGAGCGAAUGGAUUAAGAGCUUGCUCUUAUGAAGUUAGCGGCGGACGGGUGAGUAACACGUGGGUAACCUGCCCAUAAGACUGGGAUAACUCCGGGAAACCGGGGCUAAUACCGGAUAACAUUUUGAACCGCAUGGUUCGAAAUUGAAAGGCGGCUUCGUCUGUCACUUAUGGAUGGACCCGCGUCGCAUUAGCUAGUUGGUGAGGUAACGGCUCACCAAGGCAACGAUGCGUAGCCGACCUGAGAGGGUGAUCGGCCACACUGGGACUGAGACACGGCCCAGACUCCUACGGGAGGCAGCAGUAGGGAAUCUUCCGCAAUGGACGAAAGUCUGACGGAGCAACGCCGCGUGAGUGAUGAAGGCUUUCGGGUCGUAAAACUCUGUUGUUAGGGAAGAACAAGUGCUAGUUGAAUAAGCUGACACCUUGACGGUACCUAACCAGAAAGCCACGGCUAACUACGUGCCAGCCGCCGCAGUAA
rnacentral:rRNA from 1 species